GAUGAAGAACGUAGCGAAAUGCGAUACGUAGUGUGAAUUGCAGAAUUCAGUGAAUCAUCGAAUCUUUGAACGCACAUUGCACCUCUCGGUAUUCCGGGAGGUAUGCCUGUUCGAGCGUCAUUUGUACCCUCAAGCUCUGCUUGGUGUUGGGUGUUUGUUCCGCCUCUGUGUGUGAACUCGCCUCAAAACAAUUGGCAGCCGGCGUACUUGUUUCGGAGCGCAGCACAUUUUGCGAUCCAGAUCAACGUACAGCGGCAUCCAAGAAGCCUUAUUUAACGCUCUUGACCUCGGAUCAGGUAGGGAUACCCACUGAACUUAAGCAUAUCAAUAAGCGGAGGA
rnacentral:misc_RNA from 1 species